GCCCGUCUAGCUCAGUCGGUAGAGCGCAAGGCUCUUAACCUUGUGGUCGUGGGUUCGAGUCCCACGGUGGGCG
rfam:Jatropha curcas cultivar GZQX0401 scaffold96_54, whole genome shotgun sequence.